CUACGGGACGCAGCAGUGGGGAAUAUUGCACAAUGGGGGAAACCCUGAUGCAGCAACGCCGCGUGGAGGAUGACGCAUUUCGGUGUGUAAACUCCUUUUAUAUAGGAAGAUAAUGACGGUACUAUAUGAAUAAGCACCGGCUAACUCCGUGCCAGCAGCCGCGGUAAUACGGAGGGUGCAAGCGUUACUCGGAAUCACUGGGCGUAAAGCGCGCGCAGGCGGCCUUUUAAGUGGGAUGUGAAAGCCUAUGGCUUAACCAUAGAACUGCAUCCAAAACUAUCAGGCUAGAGGCUGGGAGGGGAAGGUGGAAUUAGUGGUGUAGGGGUAAAAUCCGUAGAGAUAACUAGGAAUACCAAAAGCGAAGGCGAUCUUCUGGAACAGUACUGACGCUGAGGCGCGAAAGCGUGGGGAGCAAACAGGAUUAGAUACCCCAGUAGUC
rnacentral:rRNA from 1 species